rnacentral:rRNA from 1 species
AUGGGUAAGGUGCACGGAUCGCUCGCCCGUGCCGGGAAGGUGCGCGGCCAGACGCCCAAGGUCGCGAAGCAGGACAAGAAGAAGCAGCCCCGCGGCCGCGCCGCCGUCGUCGGCUUCGGCAAGAAGCGCGGCCCCAACUCCUCCGAGAAGUAG